UGUUUCCGAACUCGAAGAAUGUUCCACAGUCGUUGUUAAAGGUACCACUUAUAAACCUGAUCAAGCAGUUAUUCUGAGGCAAGAUGAUUACGAGUAUAAUGUCCAAAUUGGCGUGAUUGGUCGGAUACUAAUUGAUACUUCGUCGAAUGUUUACUUACUAGUAGAAAAUACCGAAAAUGAAUUCAAUCCGUUUUUGCGAACUUAUGAAUUAAGAAAUAAAUUCAUUUAUGAAUGUUUACCUAUUCAGAAUAUCUGUACCUAUGAACCCCUUCAUAUAUAUACGUUAGAAACGGUACGAUGCAUUCGUUUGAGGCGUGGAAUUGUCGGCUUAAAUAGUUGAGGAGACCGACUGCUGGUAUCACUUGUUGGUUCAUUUUUAUAGACGAGGAUAAUCAUUAACUUUAUAAUCAUUUUGAUCGUUUUUUUCAGCAUAAUGUCUAUCUACCAAGUAACAUCGAAAUCUAAAUCGAAUCGAGUUGUGGUUUUCGGAGAAACAUUAGCAGAGAUAAUUACACAAUCAAUUCAGGAAUUAUCAUUGCCACCGGAUGAGGAGUAUAAGAUCGUAUUGGAAGAUACUAGGGCCUCAAUUUCAAAUAUUAUAAUAUUGGAGAAAUGGGCUGAGAAGUACAAGUUUCCACCAGGACUCAUUUCACCAGGAUGAUUUUACCAAAAAAUGAGAGUGCAACACCGCAAGAAAAUCAAUUGAAUCAUCCAAGAGACCCCACUCCAGUGCAACCUCUCAAUCCCCUACCGAUAAUAACCGAUGGUAUGGAACACAUCAAUUCAAGCCCUACCAAUACUCCGGUAACUAAUGGGACCAAUGGGUCCACUAGAAAUGAAGAGCCUCAAACAUCUACUAGAAACAUUUUGGAGGUGGAGAGGAGACACCAACACAGGAAGUCGGCUGAUCUCCCUUCAUGGUCAUGGUCAGAGUUGCCAAACACAAUUUUGAAUAAAUGUACGGCAGGAAUACGAGCAUCGAAAUGCGAAAGAGAUAUGCUGGUAAAUCUCAUAACCAUGUACUUGAUCAACGAUUUACAAGAUACAAGUCAAGCCAAAAUCAGGACAAUGGCACAUGAUAUUUGUCAACUUUAUCCUAAAACAUUCGCUGAUAAACUUGGUAAUAAAGAAGUGGAGGAGGACAAUAUCAAGAGCGAAUUACUAGCAAGGAAAAUAUCUAGAUACGUGGGGUACAGACUGGGUUUGAAGAAACCACUAGUCGUUGGAGAUGAACCUAUACAGACGAAUAGGGGACAGAAGAGAAAACGUAAUGAUUCAAUCACUCUGGACUCCCAUGGUUGUGCACUUUGGGAGCCUCCUAUGCCACCCGGAGAAACUACUGAAACUCAACGUGCAGCGAAGGAAUUUCUUCGAGAAAAAGCCACGACCACUAAUCCAGAAGAAGCAGGAAUUUUGAAUGCCCUUAAUCGAUCUUACGCCUCCCAGAGAAUUCCGAUGAAUCGUCGAAAUGAGCUCAUUUUGACGGAAUCCAAGUAUUUCUUAUGGCACGCCACAAAAUUGCUCGGCAAAAAUGUCGACGAUGUGUUUAGGAGGGAAUUGAGUGCAAAUGAAGUAAUAUAUUGCUACAUGAAUUAUUAUCAGAUUGAAAAAAGCAACAGCGAAACUCAACAAUUGGUAAACAUGAGGGGAAUUCUGAAAGCUUCAGCAAGAGCUGCAGACCAUAUGGGAACCAAUGAUUGUCGUCGAUAGGCCAUAAUGCCCUUGCUCCUAGAGUAUUUUAAAGAAGAUGCUAAUCAAUUAUACUUGGUUAUGGAUAGUGCCAGUUCAUUGGAAGAGAUGGAAGCAGCAAUAACCGACGUGACGCCAAAAUUGAUUGUCUUGGGCAGAUCGCUAUACGAUCGUGAAGCAGUGUGCAGAAUAUUCAUCGAGAAAAAGGAAUGUGUGUAUGUUGAUAACGUUUUGCAAGGCUUCCUCGUCGUUUUCCUGGCAUAUUUCGUUUUUGGAUUGAAAUAUCCUCAGAAACUGAAGAGUACACUAGAAUUCAUUCAACGAAUUUUUCUGGACAUCAAUCCUGAGCAAGAAAGGAAACAAGUAGAGGGGCCAGGACGUCAAAGGACAGUGAUAGACAGCAAGUGUUACACUCUUUGUGAGAACAUUGCCACUUUCCGCGCAAGAGAUGUUGGUAUUUGAAUUGAACUUAGUGCAAGCAUCAAGACUUUCAAGAAAUUCACUCUUUUUCCAACACAAUGAAUAAAUAUGGAGUACAACGGCAAGCUCGCAUUUCUCAUGAAUUAUUUCAGAUAAUAUGAUCUUAGUUUCAAUAUACAGAGAGCCCUCCAAUGUACCUCUAUUUCUCAUUUUUUCAUCUAUUCAAUAUAUCUUAUAGAUAAGACUUAUGUCGAAUAUCUAAUCUGCAUUAUCAUGUAAUCAAAAUUUCUAUUGUCAUUUUUCUAUUGAAAGGGAUAGUGUCAAAUGACGAAUGGACUUGUAAAAAAUAACAGUAACUAAUAGCUGAUAAGGAGAAAUUAUACUAUUGUUUGGAUAAGCGAAUAAGAAUGAAAGAAAUUGUACUUUUCUCUUGAUUUUUAAGGUGAAGCUAACCAAAUGUUAAAAUGGCUAGAUGUUUGAUAUUGUCUUAAUAUGUUCACCUAGGUUAGCUUUGUUAACUCAACACAUAUUACU